rnacentral:rRNA from 1 species
GACGAACGCUGGCGGCGUGCUUAACACAUGCAAGUCGAACGGAAAGGCCCGUUCCGGGGUGCACUAGUGUGGCACGCGGGAGUGUCACGAGAGUGUACUUCGCACAACUCUUUGAUAACGCUAAGAAAAGGAGGCGAAAACUACAGAUGGGAGCUUCUGGCAUGGGGGGGGUUGGAGAGCGCCGGGGGGUGUGGGUGGACACUCGGGGUAUCUGCUUGUUGGUGUGGGAGUGGGGUACCAAGGCGGCGACGGGUAGCCGGGCUGAGAGGGUGACCGGCCACAUUGGGACUGAGAUACGGCCCAGACUCCUACGGGAGGCAGCAGUGGGGAAUAUUGCACAAUGGGCGCAAGCCGGAUGCAGCAACGCCGCGUGCGGGAUGACGGCCUUCGGGUUGUAAACCGCUUUCGCUAGUGACGAAGCUUUUUGUGACGGUACCUGCUGAAGAAGCACCGGCUAACUACGUG